AAUCCAUAGGUUAAUGAGGCGAACCGGGGGAACUGAAACAUCUAAGUACCCCGAGGAAAAGAAAUCAACCGAGAUUCCCCCAGUAGCGGCGAGCGAACGGGGAGGAGCCCAGAGCCUGAAUCAGCAUGUGUGUUAGUGGAAGCGUCUGGAAAGGCGCGCGAUACAGGGUGACAGCCCCGUACACAAAAGCGCAUGUGCUGUGAGCUCGAUGAGUAGGGCGGGACACGUGGUAUCCUGUCUGAAUAUGGGGGGACCAUCCUCCAAGGCUAAAUACUCCUGACUGACCGAUAGUGAACCAGUACCGUGAGGGAAAGGCGAAAAGAACCCCGGCGAGGGGAGUGAAAAAGAACCUGAAACCGUGUACGUACAAGCAGUGGGAGCACCCUUUGGGUGUGACUGCGUACCUUUUGUAUAAUGGGUCAGCGACUUAUAUUCUGUAGCAAGGUUAACCGAAUAGGGGAGCCGGAGGGAAACCGAGUCUUAACCGGGCGUUAAGUUGCAGGGUAUAGACCCGAAACCCGGUGAUCUAGCCAUGGGCAGGUUGAAGGUUGGGUAACACUAACUGGAGGACCGAACCGACUAAUGUUGAAAAAUUAGCGGAUGACCUGUGGCUGGGGGUGAAAGGCCAAUCAAACCGGGAGAUAGCUGGUUCUCCCCGAAAGCUAUUUAGGUAGCGCCUCGUGAAUUCAUCUCCGGGGGUAGAGCACUGUUUCGGCUAGGGGGCCAUCCCGGCUUACCAACCCGAUGCAAACUGCGAAUACCGGAGAAUGUUAUCACGGGAGACACACGGCGGGUGCUAACGUCCGUCGUGAAGAGGGAAACAACCCAGACCGCCAGCUAAGGUCCCAAAGUCAUGGUUAAGUGGGAAACGAUGUGGGAAGGCCCAGACAGCCAGGAUGUUGGCUUAGAAGCAGCCAUCAUUUAAAGAAAGCGUAAUAGCUCACUGGUCGAGUCGGCCUGCGCGGAAGAUGUAACGGGGCUAAACCAUGCACCGAAGCUGCGGCAGCGACACUGUGUGUUGUUGGGUAGGGGAGCGUUCUGUAAGCCUGUGAAGGUGUGUCGUGAGGCAUGCUGGAGGUAUCAGAAGUGCGAAUGCUGACAUAAGUAACGAUAAAGCGGGUGAAAAGCCCGCUCGCCGGAAGACCAAGGGUUCCUGUCCAACGUUAAUCGGGGCAGGGUGAGUCGACCCCUAAGGCGAGGCCGAAAGGCGUAGUCGAUGGGAAACGGGUUAAUAUUCCCGUACUUGGUGUUACUGCGAAGGGGGGACGGAGAAGGCUAUGUUGGCCGGGCGACGGUUGUCCCGGUUUAAGCGUGUAGGUGUGUGUUCCAGGUAAAUCCGGUUCACUUUAACACUGAGGCGUGACGACGAGGCACUACGGUGCUGAAGCAACAAAUGCCCUGCUUCCAGGAAAAGCCUCUAAGCAUCAGGUAACAUCAAAUCGUACCCCAAACCGACACAGGUGGUCAGGUAGAGAAUACCAAGGCGCUUGAGAGAACUCGGGUGAAGGAACUAGGCAAAAUGGUGCCGUAACUUCGGGAGAAGGCACGCUGACACGUAGGUGAAGUGAUUUACUCAUGGAGCUGAAGUCAGUCGAAGAUACCAGCUGGCUGCAACUGUUUAUUAAAAACACAGCACUGUGCAAACACGAAAGUGGACGUAUACGGUGUGACGCCUGCCCGGUGCCGGAAGGUUAAUUGAUGGGGUCAGCGCAAGCGAAGCUCCUGAUCGAAGCCCCGGUAAACGGCGGCCGUAACUAUAACGGUCCUAAGGUAGCGAAAUUCCUUGUCGGGUAAGUUCCGACCUGCACGAAUGGCGUAAUGAUGGCCAGGCUGUCUCCACCCGAGACUCAGUGAAAUUGAACUCGCUGUGAAGAUGCAGUGUACCCGCGGCAAGACGGAAAGACCCCGUGAACCUUUACUAUAGCUUGACACUGAACAUUGAGCCUUGAUGUGUAGGAUAGGUGGGAGGCUUUGAAGUGUGGACGCCAGUCUGCAUGGAGCCGACCUUGAAAUACCACCCUUUAAUGUUUGAUGUUCUAACGUGGACCCGUUACCCGGGUUGCGGACAGUGUCUGGUGGGUAGUUUGACUGGGGCGGUCUCCUCCUAAAGAGUAACGGAGGAGCACGAAGGUUGGCUAAUCCUGGUCGGACAUCAGGAGGUUAGUGCAAUGGCAUAAGCCAGCUUGACUGCGAGCGUGACGGCGCGAGCAGGUGCGAAAGCAGGUCAUAGUGAUCCGGUGGUUCUGAAUGGAAGGGCCAUCGCUCAACGGAUAAAAGGUACUCCGGGGAUAACAGGCUGAUACCGCCCAAGAGUUCAUAUCGACGGCGGUGUUUGGCACCUCGAUGUCGGCUCAUCACAUCCUGGGGCUGAAGUAGGUCCCAAGGGUAUGGCUGUUCGCCAUUUAAAGUGGUACGCGAGCUGGGUUUAGAACGUCGUGAGACAGUUCGGUCCCUAUCUGCCGUGGGCGCUGGAGAACUGAGGGGGGCUGCUCCUAGUACGAGAGGACCGGAGUGGACGCAUCACUGGUGUUCGGGUUGUCAUGCCAAUGGCACUGCCCGGUAGCUAAAUGCGGAAGAGAUAAGUGCUGAAAGCAUCUAAGCACGAAACUUGCCCCGAG
rnacentral:rRNA from 4 species